rnacentral:rRNA from 1 species
CAGAGUUUGAUAUGGCUCAGGAUGAACGCUAGCGGCAGGCUUAACACAUGCAAGUCGAGGGGCAGCGGGGUGUAGCAAUACACUGCCGGCGACCGGCGCACGGGUGCGUAACGCGUAUGCAACCUACCCAUAACAGGGGCAUAACACUGAGAAAAUUGGUACUAAUUCCCCAUAACAUUCGAAGAGGCAUCUCUUUGGGUUGAAAACUCCGGUGGUUAUGGAUGGGGCAUGCGUUGUAUUAGCUAGUUGGUGGGG